AAAAUUACAGUUUAAUGUAUUUAUGCAUGGUUAUACUAAAUUGCCACUAAAAUCAACUUACUGUAAAAAUUACAGCAAGAGACAUUACAUACAUUUCAACCGUUCCAAACAAAUUCUAAGCAUUUCCAAAUAUUUCUAUGAAAGGCAAAAAGGCAACAACAAACAGGUUACACACAAUCCCCACACUUGGCUCAUGAUUCACAUAUUCAUGCCUCUAGAAUUCACGCAACAACAAGACCGUGUUCCAGGAAUCAAAACAUAAACAACCUAUAAUUCCUUAAUCAAGAUCAUGGAAUAUAUAAACUUUAAAAUCACCAAUAUUUUGAAUAAAAAUGAAGCAGAGAUUUUGAAAAUUCACAGAUGCAAUCAAAGCCGAAUUGUGACCGAAAUCGUGAUUGUGAAAGCUAUGGAUGAUGUUCUGCAGCGGUUUUCAACAUACAGCAUUAGGCGGUGCAUUGUACAAAUAAAUCAACAUACCAACGCAAACAUUUCGAAAUCAAAAUCUGAAUGGUAACUAUCAUAAGCAGUACGAUAUCAAGGCCAAUUGUGAUACAACCGUUACCGUAACCAACACACAAAAUUAACAUACACAUUCAACUUUGUGCAACAGAAUUUUUAAACAAAAAUACUUCUACAAUGUAAUGCAUAUACCAAAUCCAAAUACCAGUUUACAACAGCAGUGUUUCAAUAAUACAUAAGCAGGAAUUCAACAAAAGAAAACGCAACUUAUUUAAAUUAAGAACAAACCAUAACAAUGCACUCAUCACAGUAAGCAAGUCUAGAGAUAGUGUUACCAACCGAAUCGACUUAAGGUUUCCGGUUCAGCGCCUUAUCACUCAGCAACAGUUAUUGGCGUGCUGGCUAGUGGUGUUCGUGACCUGUGGGAUCCGUCUGCACCUGAAGAAAAACCGAAAAAACUUGAUAUUGUUUUCCUUUGUUCCUACUUGAUUCUUGAACUCACUAUGGUUCCAAAGCUUCAAAACUUUCCUGCAAGCUUCAAACAUUUAACAAAAAAAACCAAAUCUUCAGUAGAAGACAUUCAAGACAAGGUUUAGGAUUCUUUAAGAAAGAUAGUCGCUGUUGAUGGAUUGUGUCGGCUUAGGAGUUAAGGGUUGGUGGAUGGAUUUUGACGGUGAGAAUGACGGUGGGGGUCGUGUGCGAAGAAGAUGGCGAGGUUGGGAUUUUGUUAGCGAAGGUUAAUGGAGGAGGACGAAGGAGACGGAGGGUGAUGAAGGUGGAUGUUGAGCGGAGGUUCGUCGGAUGGUGCAGCGAUGAGGGUUUUCGGUGGCGUCGGCGGUAGGGGUUUCGGCGGUGUGCGGUUGUGACGGCGGAGGUUGCGAUUGGGAGGGUUUGAUGGUCGAGGGUUUGACGGAGGCUGAGUUGUGAAGGUGAUGAUGAAGGCGGCGACGGCGAAGGUUUGUGGUUGGAGAUGGUUGACGAAGGAGGGCGGAGGAGACGAUGAUGAAUGUUGGGCGGAGGCGGAGGAUUUUUCUGAGGGUUUGUGAGUGAGAGUUGAGAGGAUUUUGGGAGAGGGUUUUUGAGAGUUUUUCAGAGAGAAAUGUGUAAAGGAAUUUUUUUUGAGAGCCCGAAGAGGGAAUUUUUUUCGUUUAGUAAAUAGUGAGUGAGAGAGAUUUAGAGAGGUUAUUGUUUUGUCCUUUUCUGAGAGUGAGAGAGUUGGUUAGUAGUGGUGAAUGGGGAAGUUGGUUAGGAGUGGAGCAGACAGUGGAGUAGUGGGAUUAGAAAGAGACGUUGGAACAUUUUGAAUUUUGUUUUUUUUCUGUAUUGGAAUCC
rnacentral:lncRNA from 1 species